UACGGAGGAUGCGAGCGUUAUCCGGAUUUAUUGGGUUUAAAGGGUGCGUAGGCGGACUGUCAAGUCAGCGGUAAAAUACGGGGGCUCAACCUCCGCCCGCCGUUGAAACUGACGGUCUUGAGUGGGCGAGAAGUAUGCGGAAUGCGUGGUGUAGCGGUGAAAUGCAUAGAUAUCACACAGAACACCGAUUGCGAAGGCAUCUCACGAAUCCGCGAUUGACGCUGAUGCACGAAAGCGUGGGUAUCAAACAGG
rnacentral:rRNA from 1 species